GAUCUUACCAUAAAAAAAAUCGAUCCACCGAUCGAUCAGGUUUCUGUGGACCGUACGGAGCCAGCCGCCUCGCCGUCGGCAGUCGCGUACAGAGGCGGUAGCGGCAGGGCGCCGGCCGCCGCAGGCCACGCAGCGACGACGGUGACUACGUGCCGCACGCGAGCGACACGGCACGUCGUCGGCCAGUCCGGACCUCGAUAUUAUGGUCAAGUUUUUUUCUCAAAUGAAAAGCACCAUCACAGGCUGUUCCGGAAGACUUAAUUGGGAAGGGGAGACUCAAUAUGAUCCGAGUAAGAGAAAAUUGAUAGAACAUUAUCAUCCUAGUUUUAAAGAUCUGGUAAGAAGAAAAUAUUUGUUGAAUGGACCUUGUCAGCCAAGAGACAUUGAUUUUGAAUCCUCGGAAUUUGGGGGUAAAUAGAGAAAGUUCAAUCCUAAAUGGUUUGAUGAAUUUGGGAGCUGGUUUGAAUACAACAAAGAGAAGAAGAGGGGAUAUUGUCUUAGAAUGGAUCAUACUAAAGAUAAUUUUCAAGCUUUUAGCCAUUUAAAUACUUUUAUUUCAGCAUUUUAUUAUGUUCUAUUGAAAAGUUUAAUUCUAUUUUUAUCUUGGUAGGUUACUAAACCUUGUUGUCAGAUGAUGUAUUUUGGAAUUUGGAGAUGCAAGACAUCUAUUUCAAUGGUGCAUCGGGUAACAUUUGCUCCAGCUCCGCCCCCG